CCCUUCACCACUGUGGAAGCUUUGUUCUUUUGCUCUUUGCAAUAAAUCUUGCUACUGCUCACUCUUUGGGUCCACGCUGCUUUUAUGAACUGUAACACUCACCGCGAAGAUCUGCAGCUUCACUCCUGAGCCCAGUGAGACCACGAGCCCACCAGGAGGAACGAACGACUCCAGACGCGCCACCUUAAGAGCUGUAACACUCACCGCGAAGGUCUGCAGCUUCACUCCUGAGCCAGCGAGACCACGAACCCACCAGAAGGAAGAAACUCCGAACACAUCUGAACAUCAGAAGGGACAGACUCCAGGCGCGCCACCUUAAGAGCUGUUAACACUCACCGCGAGGGUCCGCGGCUUCAUUCCUGAAAUCAGUGAGACCAAGAACCCACCAAUUCCGGACACAUUCCCUUCACACCUCCCUCUGGUGUCUGAAAACCCAAGAACAUUCAUUUCCUUACGGAGAGACUCAACAAUCCUUCAUUGGGAUGGGAGAGGGGGCUCGCAUCCAUCCACUGUCCCCUUCACUGUGAAUGAAUUGGUUGGUUUGCAUUCGCUCACAUCUGUAGAACUGGAGGGAACAGGACACAGAAAAGAGUAGGCCAGAGGAACAACUGCCCAGGAGUCAGGGGCAAGAGGAGAACUGUUUCCCCCCAGGGGUGUCUCACCUGGGUCAGAAUCACUCAUGAUGGCCUCAGGGACCAGGAAGUUAUGAGCAGAGAUCCUUGGUGAGGUCUACACACCACAGUUUUGCCUGAAGACGAUCCUUAUUUUAGAGAGCCAAUUUAAAGUAGGAGGAAAGCAAAAGUAAUGUUACUGAAUUGGUGGCAGAGAGGAGGAGGCAUCGCCCCACGGAACUUGAAUGCCAACAGCUCUUCAUCGAUUCACAU
rnacentral:lncRNA from 10 species